rnacentral:misc_RNA from 1 species
AACGCACCUUGCGCUCCUUGGUAUUCCGAGGAGCAUGCCUGUUUGAGUGUCAGUAAAUUCUCAACCCCUCCAGCCUGUGUGUUGGUUUCAUGGGGCUUGGAUUAUGGAGGUGCUGCUGGCCUGGUUUACAGGUCAGCUCCUCUGAAAUGCAUUAGCGGAACCGUUUGCAAUCGGUCACAGGUGUGAUAAUUAUUUAUGCGCCAGUGGAUUGCUCUCUGUCUUGUUCAGCUGCCAACUGUUCAUAAAGGACAAUCAUUACUGAAUAUUUGACCUCAAAUCAGGUAGGACUACCCGCUGAACUUAA